rnacentral:rRNA from 1 species
AUUGAACGCUGGCGGCAGGCCUAACACAUGCAAGUCGAGCGGAUGAAGGGAGCUUGCUCCUGGAUUCAGCGGCGGACGGGUGUGUAAUGCCUAUGAAUCUGCCUGGUAGUGGGGGAUAACGUCCGUAAACGGGCGCUAAUACCGCAUACGUCCUGAUGGAGCAAGUGGGGGAUCUUCGUACCUCACGCUAUCAGAUGAGCCUAGGUCGGAUUAGCUAGUUGGUGGGGUAAAGUCCUACCAAGGCGACGAUCCGUAACCGGUCUGAGAGGAUGAUCAGUCACACGGGAACUGAGACACGGUCCAGACUACUACGGGAGGCAGCAGUGGGGAAUAUUGGACAAUGGGCGAAAGCAUGAUCCAGCCAUGCCGAGUGUGUGAAGAAGGUCUUCGGAUUGUAAAGCACUUUAAGUUGGGAGGAAGGGAAGUAAGUUAAUACCUUGCUGUUUUGACGUUACCAACAGAAUAAGCACCGGCUAACUUCGUG